AGAGCGAACGCUGGCGGCAGGCCUAAUACAUGCAAGUCGAACGGAUCCUUCGGGAUUAGUGGCGGACGGGUGAGUAACACGUGGGAACGUACCCUUUGGUUCGGAACAACUCAGGGAAACUUGAGCUAAUACCGAAUGUGCCCUUCGGGGGAAAGAUUUAUCGCCAUUGGAGCGGCCCGCGUCUGAUUAGCUAGUUGGUAGGGUAAAGGCCUACCAAGGCUACGAUCAGUAGCUGGUCUGAGAGGAUGAUCAGCCACACUGGGACUGAGACACGGCCCAGACUCCUACGGGAGGCAGCAGUAGGGAAUCUUGCGCAAUGGGCGAAAGCCUGACGCAGCCAUGCCGCGUGAAUGAUGAAGGUCUUAGGAUUGUAAAAUUCUUUCAGCGGGGACGAUAAGUGACGGUACCCGCAGAAGAAGCCCCGGCUAACUCGCGCCAGCAGCCGC
rnacentral:rRNA from 1 species